rnacentral:rRNA from 1 species
AGCAGCCGCGGUAAUUCCAGCUCCAAUAGCGUAUAUUAAAGUUGUUGCAGUUAAAAAGCUCGUAGUUGAACUUCGGGAUCAAUUAGUUGGUCAUGCCUUGGUAUGUACUGAUUUUAUUGGUUCUCACCUUCUAAAGAACUAUAAUGUCAUUUAUUUGAUGUUAUAGGGAAUUAGGACUGUUACUUUAGAAAAAAUUUAGAGUGUUUAAAAGCAGGCUCACGCUUGAAUACAUUAGCAUGGAAUAAUGAAAUAGGACAUCGCAUUCUAUUUUGUUGGUUUCUAGGAUCGAUGUAAUGAUUAAUAGGGAUAGUUGGGGGCAUUAGUAUUCAAUUGUCAGAGGUGAAAUUCUUGGAUUUAUUGAAGACUAACUACUGCGAAAGCAUUUGCCAAGGUAUGUUUUCAU